CAAUUAGCCAUCUGCAGAGUUGCCAUUGAACUAUCAAGAAAAAGUACCCAUAGGCUAAGAACCCCUUCCAGAGGCCUUGCUGAGAAUUGGAGCCCGAAGAUCACAAGCCUGCGCUACACACCCAGCAACCAGGAAUACGCAAUAAGAGCGAAGGGGCAAAAAUGCACCGGAUUCGAACUUGAUGGUUCAAUAAAAGUGACUACUCUCUGUUCUUAGAAAAAACAAGAUGACACAGCCGCAGAAGACGAUGCUGGUGCUGCCGAGGAGGGAGACAGGAGGAAACCACUACAGGAGCCAAGGAAGGAGCUAGUGAAACCACAGGUCAGUGUGGGUGGAGCACACACCUGUAUGCUGCAGAGGCUUGACUGCUACCAGGAGUGGGGUACAUCGAGGUGUAACACAGCAAGAAAGGAGCACUUGCUUUAGAGCCAAAAUAUCCAGAUUGGAACCCAUGAUACUGACUAGCUGUGUGACGCUGGGCCAAGCAGUCAACCUCUCUGAGUUCAUUUUCCUGUCUUCCAAAAGAGGAAACCUAAUCAGUUUUGCCUAUGUUAAGUCUUUUCUUGAACUGCCAAAGAUGAUAUCUUCGAGAGCCUUCUGAAUGACUCGAACCUCACUGGUGGCUUUUCAGGAAACAAAAGGCCAGAGAUCUUUCUGCUUGGUGGCCUUCCAGAGAGGAGUCAAUUGCUGCCCCUCCCCCUUUCAGCUGUUGGGGCUGUGGAUCAAUUGCAACCAAGCUAAACAAACAAACAAAAAGGUAGUCAUACAUGAUCAGCAAAAUGGUACAAAUGAUGUCAUCCAUCACGAUGGACAUCCCAAUUUGCCAACUAUUUUCUCAUAAAUCAAACUGUGGUCCCUGAAGGAAAAGGGGCAGGGCUGGGGGAGCCAGCAUGGCAGGGCUUAUCGGAGGACCAGACGCAGGGAAGCGCUCCCUGAAGGGUUCAGUAAUUAUUUUCACUCGAUGGGAAAUAAAGAGGGGCACCAUGGGAGGGAGGCUGGAGAGUGUCCGCCUCACUUCAUUACAGCUCCCCGGGCAAGGGACACAACAUAUGCUUUUCAUUGGAAAGCCAAUAAUUCUGAAUCGUGGGACAGGUGAAAACUUAAAUGACAUUUGCAAACCUUGAUUUAUUUCUCUGCUUAACUCUGGAACAUGCUUGAGACUCAGCCCUGCAAGUUUCCAUAGAUUAGUGGUCAAUGUCAAGUAUUUUCAAUGACAUAUUCAAGUGUUUCCUGUCCCUAUCAGUUAAUUAAAUAUUUUCAGUUCUAAUAUC